GAUUGAGAGGAGGGAGAAGAGCUUCUUGAUCUCCUUCUUGAUCUUCUUCUUCCUUUCUGUCCUUCUCUUCCUCUUCUUUCUUCCUCUUUUCUUCUUCUCCUUCUUUUCUCCUUCAACCGGUUAGAGAGAGAGAGAGCAAUAGAGCGAGAGAGAGGCUGUGAGAAUGAAAGAGGAGAGAGUUAAGAGUGAGAGGGAUAUAA
rnacentral:lncRNA from 1 species